rnacentral:rRNA from 1 species
GCUUGUCUCAAAGAUUAAGCCAUGCAUGUCUAAGUAUAAAUCUCUUACUUUGAAACUGCGAACGGCUCAUUAUAUCAGUUAUAGUUUAUUUGAUAGUCCCUUACUACUUGGAUAACCGUAGUAAUUCUAGAGCUAAUACAUGCGUCAACACCUUUGGGUGGUAUUUAUUAGAAAGAAACCAACCCCUUCGGGGUGAUGUGGUGACUCUGAAUAACUUUGGGCUGAUCGUAUGGCCUUGUGCCGACGACGUUUCCUUCGAAGGUGUGCCCUAUCAACUGUCGACUGUGAUAUAGACGCUCACAGUGGUUUUGACGGGUAACGGGGAAUCAGGGUUCGAUUCCGGAGAGGGAGCCUUAAAAACGGCUACCACAUCCAAGGAAGGCAGCAGG